CAAAGUGCUGUUCGUGCAGGUAGUGUGAUUACCGACCUACUGCUGAGCUAGCACUUCCCGA
rnacentral:pre_miRNA from 1 species